ensembl:snRNA U5 U5 spliceosomal RNA
AAGCAGUUUGGUUUCUCUUCAGAUUGUAUAAGUCUUUUGCCUUUUACUAAAGAUUUCCAUGGAGAGGCCUCAGAUUUCUGUAGGGGAUGAUGCUGUGGAAUCAUUGCAUCCAGUCUC